rnacentral:piRNA from 1 species
GAAGAGAUAAUUGGUGCUGGG